rnacentral:snRNA from 1 species
GUCUGAGAUCUAUCUCCAGAAAAA